UUAAGUUCAGCGGGUAUCCCUACCUGAUCCGAGGUCAAAAUAUGGGGUUGGCUUCUGGGAGCGGAUCCACCGUCCUCGAGUUCGCGUUUCUGCUGCGCUCGAAGCCAAUGUACCGGCCGCCAAUGAAUUUGAGGCGAGUCCGCACCCCGGGGGGCGGGACAGACACCCAACACCAAGCGGAGCUUGAAGUUGUAAAUGAC
rnacentral:misc_RNA from 1 species